rnacentral:tRNA from 1 species
GCCGACGUAGCUCAGUUGGUAGAGCAAGUGUUUCGUAAACACUAGGUCGAGGGUUCAAAUCCCCCCGUCGGCU